rnacentral:ncRNA from 2 species
CUCUUAUCGAGAGCUGGCGGAGGGACUGGCCCGAUGAAGCCCGGCAACCGGCCUCUUAGAACCCAGGUACGGUGCCAAUUCCUGCAGGAUUUCUCCUGGCAGAUGAGAG